rnacentral:siRNA from 1 species
UUGCAUACAACAGAGGUGUAC